GAUGAAGAACGUAGCGAAAUGCGAUAACUAAUGUGAAUUGCAGAAUUCCGUGAAUCAUCGAGUCUUUGAACGCACAUUGCGCCCCCUGGUAUUCCGGGGGGCAUGCCUGUCCGAGCGUCAUUACAACCCUCAAGCCCGGCUUGUGUAAUGGGCGGCCGUCUCUCCCCCCGGGGGGAGACGCCCCCGAAACUCAGUGGGGAUGUCGCGAUACCGAAGCCUCAGCUAAUGGGUAAACCACAGCUGCAAUGGCCGCGGCCGGCGUCCGCCUUCCACGGUCCGUCCGCCUAGCGCGGGCGGCCUUCUCAAGGUUGACCUCGGAUCAGGUAGGGAUACCCGCUGAACUUAAGCAUAUCAAUAAGCGGAGGA
rnacentral:misc_RNA from 1 species